AAUCAACGCUGGCGGCGUGCCUCAGACAUGCAAGUCGAACGAUUAAGACUUCCUUCGGGAAGUGCAUAAAGUGGCGCACGGGUGAGUAACACGUAAGUAAUCUACCCUCGAGUGGGGCAUAACGUUCGGAAACGAACGCUAAUACCGCAUAAUGCAGCGGCAUCGCAAGAUGACAGAUGUUAAAGGAGUAAUUCGCAUGAGGAGGAGCUUGCGGCAGAUUAGCUAGUUGGUAAGGUAACGGCUUACCAAGGCUACGAUCUGUAUCCGGUCUAAGAGGACGGUCGGACACACUGACACUGAAUAACGGGUCAGACUCCUACGGGAGGCAGCAGUCGGGAAUUUUGGGCAAUGGGCGAAAGCCUGACCCAGCAACGCCGCGUGAAGGAUGAAGUAUUUCGGUAUGUAAACUUCGAAAGAAUGGGAAGAAUAAAUGACGGUACCAUUUAUAAGCUCCGGCUAACUACGUGCCAGCCGCCGCCGUAAUAC
rnacentral:rRNA from 1 species